GCCUGCGGUGACUCAGAGCAACAUGCUGCUGGGCUUUUUGCUGCUGUCCUUUGUCUCUGAGAGCACAGUUAAAUCCUUCACGACAACAGGAUAUACUUUGGCUACAACAACUACAAUGACAGAUACACCUCCUCCUCUGCAGGCGGUGGCCGUACCAGACUACCCAGUUGCAGCAGGUCAACCAGUGACGCUGUUCUGCAGUGAUUUCAC